UAGGGAAUCUUCGGCAAUGGGGGCAACCCUGACCGAGCAACGCCGCGUGAGUGAAGAAGGUUUUCGGAUCGUAAAGCUCUGUUGUAAGUCAAGAACGGGUGUGAGAGUGGAAAGUUCACACUGUGACGGUAGCUUACCAGAAAGGGACGGCUAACUACGUGCCAGCAGCCGCGGUAAUACGUAGGUCCCGAGCGUUGUCCGGAUUUAUUGGGCGUAAAGCGAGCGCAGGCGGUUUUGAUAAGUCUGAAGUUAAAGGCUGUGGCUCAACCAUAGUUCGCUUUGGAAACUGUCAACUUGAGUGCAGAAGGGGAGAGUGGAAUUCCAUGUGUAGCGGUGAAAUGCGUAGAUAUAUGGAGGAACACCGGUGGCGAAAGCGGCUCUCUGGUCUGUAACUGACGCUGAGGCUCGAAAGCGUGGGGAGCGAACAGGAUUAGAUACCCUGGUAGUCCACGCCGUAAACGAUGAGUGCUAGGUGUUGGAUCCUUUCCGGGAUUCAGUGCCGAAGCUAACGCAUUAAGCACUCCGCCUGGGGAGUACG
rnacentral:rRNA from 1 species